GAACGCAUAUUGCGCUCUUUGGUAUUCCGAAGAGCAUGCUUGUUUGAGUAUCAGUAAACACCUCAAAGACUUCAAUUUGUUUUGAAUGGCUUUGGACUUGAGCAAUCCCAACACCAGUCUUUACGAUCGGUGGAGGGUUGCUUGAAAUGCAGGUGCAGCUGGACAUUCUCCUGAGCUAAAAGCAUAUUUAUUUAGUCCCGUCAAACGGAUUAUUACUUUUGCUGCAGCUAACAUAAAGGGAGUUUUGACCAUUAUGGCUGACUGAUGCAGGAUUUCACAGAGAAAAGGCCGGCAACGGUUUUGUCUCUGUCAAACUCGAUCUCAAAUCAAGUAAGACUACCCGCUGAACUUAAG
rnacentral:misc_RNA from 1 species